rnacentral:rRNA from 1 species
UACGUAGGGAGCGAGCGUUGUCCGGAUUCAUUGGGCGUAAAGAGCUCGUAGGCGGCUUGGUAAGUCGGAUGUGAAACCUCCAGCUCAACCUGGAGUCGCCAUCCGAUACUGCCAUGGCUAGAGUCCGGUAGGGGCCCACGGAACUCCUGGUGUAGCGGUGAAAUGCGUAGAUAUCAGGAGGAACACCUGCGGUGUAGACGGCUUACUGGACCACGACUGACGCUGCAACUCGAAAGUGUGGGGAGCAAACAGG